UAAACUUUGCUUUUUAAAGAUUCUUUUCCUUCCUUCCUUCCUUCCUUCCUUCCUUCCUUCCUUCCUUCCUUCCUUCCUUCCUUCCUUCCUUCCUUCCUUUUUUACUUUUCCUUCCUUCCUUCCUCUUUUUUCCUUCCUUCCUCUUUUCUUCCUUCCUUCCUUCCUUCCUUCCUUCCUUCCUUCCUUCCUUCCUUCCUUCCUUCCUUCCUUCCUUCCUUCCUUCCUUCCUUCCUUCCUUCCUUCCUUCCUUCCUUCCUUCCUUCCUUUCUUUCUUCCUUUCUUCCUUCCUUCCUUCCUUUCUUUCUUUCUUUCUUUCUUUCUUUCUUUCCUUCCUUCCUUCCUUCCUUUCUUUCUUUCUUUCUUUCUUUCUCUCUCUUU
rnacentral:lncRNA from 1 species